GAUUGAAUUCACUACCCAAAAAGCACUAUUACUGGUGAUUUUGUUCUUUAACAAGGCUAGGAACUAUUAGAAAAAGUGUUAUUUUCAUGACGAAUUAUAGGUCUUCAAUUAAAAAAGAUAAUAUUUAACAAAUUUAGAUUGUCAUAAAAAAAUGCACUUAGUUGUCACAAGAAAUUGAAACUUUGCACUUUCCAAUUUGAGCUAGAUAUCAGGAAUUGUAUACUUCCAAACAUUUUAUUUUUUAAAAAUUUUGCUAAUUAAUCAACUUACAGUGAUGAGAAUGCUAUCAUGAAUACUACAAAAAGUUCCUAAUAUGUCAUCACAAAAUGUAUAGUUCCCUUCUUAUUUUGCUGGGAAUGAAAAAUGCACGAGAAUGAUAUGAAGUUUAUCAACUCUUUUUUUUCAUGUAACUAUGAUGUUUAAUCCUUAUUCUCAUGCAUAUACUUUUUUCUGUAAAUGUAGUACUAUGCGUUG
rnacentral:lncRNA from 1 species